AUUGAACGCUGGCGGCAGGCCUAACACAUGCAAGUCGAGCGGAGCGGCGGACGGGUGAGUAAUGCCUAGGAAUCUGCCUGGUAGUGGGGGAUAACGUCCGGAAACGGGAGCUAAUACCGCAUACUAUCAGAUGAGCCUAGGUCGGAUUAGCUAGUUGGUGGGGUAAAGGCCUACCAAGGCGACGAUCCGUAACUGGUCUGAGAGGAUGAUCAGUCACACUGGAACUGAGACACGGUCCAGACUCCUACGUGAGGCAGCAGUGGGGAAUAUUGCACAAUGGGCGCAAGCCUGGUGCAGCCCUGCCGCGUGUAUGAAGCAGGCCUUAGGGUUGUAAAGUACUUUCAGCGGGGAGACGUUACCCGCAGAAGAAGCACCGGCUAACUACGUGCCAGCAGCCGCGGUAAUUC
rnacentral:rRNA from 1 species